AUGUCCCGCGAGCGGCCCCCCCGCACCGACAUCCCCCGCAACCUGAGCUUUAUCGCCACGCUGACUGAGCGCGCAUACUAUCGCAGCCAGCGGCCCAGCCUCGAGGAGGAGCCAGAGGAGUCAGGCGAGGCCGGGACGCGGCUUGGGGCCAGAUCCCGCGAUCACGCUCCGAGUCGGGGCCGCAGGGCCCGCUCUGCACCCGCCGGAGGCAGCGGGACCCGGGCGCCCCGCAGCCGUAGCCCCGACACCCGCAAGAGAGUGCGUUUCGCCGACGCGCUGGGGCUGGAGCUGGCCGCCGUGCGCCGCUUCCGCCCCGGAGAGUUGCCCCGGGUACCCCUCCACGUUCAGGUCCAGCUGCAGAGAGACGCCCUCCGCCACUUCGCACCGUGUCAGCCCCUUGCCCGCGGCCUCCAGGAGGCUCGCGCCGCCCUGGAGCCGGCCAGCGACCCCGGUUUCGCCGCCCGCUUGCAGGCGCAGCGCAUCUGCCUAGAACGCGCCGAGGCGGGCCCGCUGGGCGUGGCCGGGAGCGCGCGCGUGCUGGACCUGGCCUAUGAGAAGCGCGUGAGCGUGCGCUGGAGCGCCGACGGCUGGCGGAGCCAGCGCGAGGUGCCCGCCGCCUACGCCGGCCCGGCCCCGCCCCCGCCGCGCGCCGACCGCUUCGCCUUCCGCCUGCCGGCUCCACCCAUUGGGGGCGCCCUGCUCUUCGCCUUGCGCUACCGUGUGACGGGUCACGAGUUCUGGGACAACAACGGCGGCCGAGACUAUGCUCUACGUGGGCCCGAGCAUCCGGGCAGUGGCGGAGCCCCGGAGCCCCAGGGCUGGAUCCACUUUAUCUGAGACGAGGCGUCUGCGGCCGACGGCGGAAAACAGCAAAGGCACCCGGGGCCGGGGGGCACCCGAUGUGGCAGGGAGGAAGGGGAGACGCCAAGAUUGGCGAGGCGCCGUCCAAGAGAGUCCUGUGCGGGAGGGCGAGCGCGGUGGGAGCACUCAAAGGGGCGUGGGGGUGGGCGGAAUGUAGGAAGCUCUGCUGUGAGUGCAAGGAACCCGAGGCAGAGGAGAAAGGCUGGAAAGGGCGCCGAAGGGAUUAGAAGAAGAGCCCAAGAAUGGGGAUGAUGGUGGUGUUCUCCUCAGUGAGUGGACACUGGGAGAAAGGCCCGUCAGGCCUAGGCAGUCGAAGGUUAAGGAACGCCUUCGGGAUUGAGGAGGUAUUUUUAUAGCCCACCCCAGUUGAAAUCAUUUGGAUUGCUGGCUCUUUCCCUUUUCUUAACCCGCCUUUGCCGUCUCAGGUCCCCCAGUCCUGCCCAUCCUAGCUUUAACUCAACUGUAAUUGCCUUGCUUAAUCCCAGGAACUUGGCCAUUGCUCCCUGGUCCCUAGCAUUAUGACAGGAUUUCCUUGUCACCUCUGACAGUUCCUGGCUUCAGUGGCCACGGACUGGCUUGGGAGUGAGGACAGGUAGCAGUCAGAUUCUUCCUUCUGCCUCCAGGCAGCCUGCGAUGACAAUGAAGGCAAAAGCAACUCCAAGCCUGUCCUUGUGGCCAAAUAAUGAGGUGUCUAAGGGAUUGGUACACUCAGGGGCUUCCAGAAAAAUGCCAGCCUCACCUUUCUGGGGUACCUUCCAUUAACCUCUGAGCACGUUAUGGACUGUGUUUGUCAAGGGACAUUGAAUCAUGAGAAUAACUAUUCUGAUUUACUCUUUAUGCCUCAGAAGAAAAGGAAGUCACUAGCUGUAUAACUUUGGGCAUGUUACUUCACCUCUUUGGGCCACUGUUUCCUCCGUGGGAAACUGGAUUUGAGUUAGAUGAUCUCUUAAGGCUCCUUCUUGUUUGACAUUUUAUGAUUUGUGCAUGGCAGAGUAGAUUAGAAGCUACAUUCUCCAACCUGGUGCUGUAGUUCAGAAUGCACAGCACCUUGAGCAUCUGAUUGGGGCUAAGGAUGGAUCCUCUAGCUUUUGGCACACAUGUUCCAGAGCCCAGGAAGCAUCCCACAACUAGCCUGUAGCCUCAGGGUAUUCCAGAGCCUCUUCCAAACCACAGCUCAUCCUCUGUCCAUUGCUUUUUGCUCUUGCCCCCAUAGACUUCCAGCCUGCAUACUCUGAGACAACUUUGGGGAGGUGCAUCUCUGUUGGGGAAAAUGAUGCUUGGAAGUCCCAAAGAUGAAAAGAGAAAGUUUGGGGGCUCUCUUGAGGAUAAAAGAUUAUGGGUAUAAGGAAUGGAAAACAUACCAAAUCAAGAAUCAAACCAACUUGGAAAAAAAAAUUUUUUUCUUACCAUGUCCCUGUCCCACCUCAUCACUUUUUUUUUUUAUCAUAUAGGGUAUUUACCUUCAUUUUCUCUAUUUCCGUUUGCCUCCCUCUUCAUCUUCGUUGAUUUCUGCUAUUCCUUCUCCCUCUAGAAGGGGUGGAGAACCUACUUCCCUUUCUCCAAGACCAUGGUUGAUCCACCUUCCUCCCUCAGGCUCCUGGACAGUCUUCUAGAAAGGAGAAGAGAUGAAAGAAGCAGUUCCUGAUGCUACAGAUAAACAAGGAGCUCCCAGGAAAAGACCUGUUUCUGAUUGUGCUCUGCCUUCCCAUCCUCCCAGUCUCCUGAACUGACUUAGAAGGUAAAGCACCAAGGGCUCCAAGCUUCAUCUGCUCCUCCUAGGAGCUUGCUGCUGUGUUCUGUGCCAGUGUCCCAGCUCUGCAGGAUCAGCAAGUGACCACCCCACCUGCCUGCUAGAGAACUUGGGCUCCUAUUUAAACUCUAGCCUUUCCACUGGGAUUCUCUCCUGGCCCUAGUCAACCCUCCACAUCUGUUGGUGUGCCCCUUCCCUCUUCUUCACCCCACUAGCCCUGAACUGGCAAACCCCCUAAUGUCUCCACUAGAAGGGUCCCUGACUAGGACAACUACUGGAUGGUCUGUGCUCAGACUUUCUCUUGGGAACCCCAGUAUUACUGAGUGAGUAAAUGUAAAUUUGGGGCAGGGGACCAAGGAUAAUCCUGUUCCCUGAACUCUUUCUCUGUAAGAAGUACCGAAGCUCACCCACACCCCAUUCCCAGCUUUAGAGAACAAGUGAGUCUUCUGGUUCUUCCCAUAUUGAGCUGCCCCAGGGCCUGGGGGUAAGCUGAUUGUUUCCUCCAUUCUUGCCCCAAGGCUGGACCUGGGCUGAGCUUCCUUGAACACACAAAUAACGGGUUUCUCCCUCUUUGAACCUGAACUUAUACAAGUAUUAGUGCCACCAAGCCUUGUAAAAUAGGGAAGAAACUAAUAUUUCUUGAAUGGCUUCUGUUUGCAUGGUCCUUUUGAGAUUCUCUGCAGGGUUUCCCUGGCUUGUUGGGUUUGGUGUGCACUCCCCUUCCAGCACAUGAACACUGAGAUUCUCCCUACCAUCUGCAAAUCAACCAAGAUUAGGCAGUAUGUCCUUUCCUUCCUGCACUACUCUUUCCAGAACUUUCAUCCAUAUUUCUUCCAGCCCCAGUAAGCAAAGCAGAGUACACGUAGACAGAGCUGCAACCACUGGUUCCUUCCAGAUGGUUCAGUCUGAUCUGGCAUGGGAAACACUAGGAGUUCAGCAGAAUCUUCAGGGGUCCUGUUAUGUGUUAUGCAUUAGGUAUUGUGGUGGAGACUUUCCU